rnacentral:rRNA from 1 species
AAUAGAUACCCGGGUAGUCCACGCCGUAAACGAUGGAUGCUAGCUGUUAGAAGUAUCGACCCUUCUAGUAGCGUAGCUAACGCGUUAAGCAUCCCGCCUGUGGAGUACGGUCGCAAGACUAAAACAUAAAGGAAUUGACGGGGACCCGCACAAGCGGUGGAGCGUGUUGUUUAAUUCGAUGAUAAGCGAAGAACCUUACCCAGGCUUGACAUCCCACUAAGGACUCCGAAAGGAGACUGUGUCUUCGGACCGUGGUGACAGGUGUUGCAUGGCCGUCGUCAGCUCGUGUCGUGAGAUGUUUGGUUAAGUCCAUCAACGAGCGCAACCCUUAUAGUUAGUUGUAUUUCUCUAGCUAGACUGCCCUGGCAACAGGGAGGAAGGAGGGGAUGAUGUCAGGUCAGUAUUACCCUUACGUCUGGGGCUACAAACACGCUACAAUGGCCGGUACAAAGGGCAGCCAACCCGCGAGGGGGAGCAAAUCCCAUCAAAGCCGGUCUCAGUUCGGAUUGCAGGCUGAAACUCGCCUGCAUGAAGCUGG